rnacentral:tRNA from 1 species
GCGAGCGUGGCAAAGUGGACAGCGCACUGGUCUGCAAUGCUAGAAAUCCCGAGUUCGAUUCUCGCGGUAGCA